rnacentral:rRNA from 1 species
ACGAACGCUGGGCGGCGUGGAUUAAGACAUGCAAGUCGGAACGGGAUUACUUUUGGUAGCAAUACCGAAAGUGAUUCAGUGGCGAACGGGUGCGUAACACGUGGGCAAUCUACCGAGAAGUGGGGGAUAGCUCGCCGAAAGGCGAAUUUAAUACCGCAUCUGAUUCAGAGGCGACAUCGCUUCGAAAUCAAAGGUGGCGCAAGCUACCGCUUUUUGAGGAGCCCGCGGCCUAUCAGCUUGUUGGUGAGGUAACGGCUUCACCAAGGCAUUGACGGGUAGCUGGUCUGAGAGGACGACCAGCCACACUGGAACUUGAGACACGGUCCAGACAACCUAACGGGUGGCAGCAGUCCGAGAGAAUUUUUCUCAAUGGGGGAAACCCUGAAGGAGCGAACGCCGCGUGGAGGAUGAAGGUCUUCGGAUUGUAAACUCCUGUCAUUGGGGAACAAUGGUUACGCGUUUAACUGCGCGUGACUUGAUAGUACCCGAAGAGGGAAGAGACGGGCUAACCUCUGUUGCCAGCAGCCGCGGGUAAUACAGAGGUCUCAAAGCGUUGUUCGGAUUCAUUGGGCGUAAAGGGGUGCGUAGGCGGGCGCGGUAAAGGUCGGGUGUGAAAUUUCGAGGCUUAAACUUCGACGAAACUGCAUUCGAUAUACUGCCGUGCUUGAGGACUGGAGAGGAGACUGGAAUUUAACGGUUGUAGCGGUGAAAUGGCGUAGAUAUCGUAAGGGAAGACCAGUGGCGAAGGCGGGGUCUCUGGGACAGUUUCCCUGACGGCUGAGGGCACGAAGGCCAGGGGAGGCAAAACGGGAUUAGAAUACCCCGGUAGUUCCCUGGCAAAUAAACGGUGCACGUUUUGGUGUGGGAGGGAUUCGACCCCUUCUGCGCCCGGAGCUAACGCGGUUAAAAACGUGGCCGCCUGGGGAGUACGGUCGCAAGAUUAAAACUCAAAGAAAUUGACGGGGGCCCGCCACAAGCGGUGGAGUAUGUGGCUUAAUUCGAUGCAACGCGAAGAACCUUACCUGGCCUUGAACAUGCAUCUCUAAGCUGGUGAAAGCCAGUGAGUCCCGAAAGGGACAAUUUGCACAAGGUGCUGGCAUGGCUGUCGUCAGCUUCGUGUCGUGAGAUGUUGGGUUAAGUCCCGCAACGAGCGCAAACCCCUGUGAACUGGUUGCCACCACAAGCCGUGAGGCUUGAGCACUCUGUUCAGACUGCCCUGUGAAACGGGGAGGAAGGUGGGGAACGACGUCAAGUCAGUAUGGCCCUUACGGCCAGGGCUGCACACGUACUACAAUGCCCAGUACAGAACGAUCCGAGACCGCGAGGUGGAGGAAAUCUAUCAAAAAACUGGGGCCCAGUUCGGAAUUGAAGUCUGCAACCCGACUUUCAUGAAGCCGGAAUCGCUAGUAAUGGCGCAUCAGCUACGGCGCCGUGAAUACGUUUCCCGGGCCUUGUACACACACCGCCCGUCCACAUCAUGGAAGUCGCUUGUAGCCCGAAGGCCGGCGCGCUAAAACCGCAAGGAGGCAAGCCGCCUACGCUAUGAGCGGUAACUGGGAUG